rnacentral:rRNA from 1 species
UACAUGGGGUGCAAACGUUGCUCGGAAUUAUUGGGCGUAAAGGGCGCGUAGGCGGCUCUACAAGUCAAAGGUGAAAUCCCUCGGCUCAACUGAGGAACUGCCUUUGAAACUGUAAGGCUUGAGGCCGGGAGGGGGUAGCGGAAUUCCCAGUGUAGCGGUGAAAUGCGUAGAUAUUGGGAGGAACACCAGUGGCGAAGGCGGCUACCUGGACCGGUUCUGACGCUGAUGCGCGAAAGCGUGGGUAGCAAACAGG